CUUCCGGGAGCCGCUGGUUUUGAGUGCCCGCCCUCAUCCGUCCCCGCCGGUUCCGGCGGGGCUUGAGCGCAGCCGGGGGCUCUGUCCCACUGGGAAAAGUGUCUUUUCCCGCCAGGUCCUCGUGCCGUGGAGCGAUGUUGCCGCCUUGUUUCCGCCCCGACUCCCUGGAGGCGCCUCAGAGCUCGUGGCUCCCGCCACCUGCACAGCACGGGCACGGGGGGUGGCAGGUGCCAGUGAAGGUCGCUCAGAGAGCUGCUGUAGUCUCCAUCCUUGCGGAUCUUCAAAAGCCGUCUGGACACUGCCCUAGGCAGCCGGCUGUAAGUGGUCCUCAGGUGGUCCCUCACUGGAGAUAUUCAAGGACCGCUUGGAUGCAACCCUGUGCCAUGUGCUCUAGGACAACCCUGCUUGAGCAGGGAAGUUGGACCAGGUGAUCCAUUGUGGUCCGUUCCAACCUGACCCAUUCUGUGAGUCUGUCCUGUUUGAUCAGAGGGACUGGAGAAGUUGACCUUCAGAGAUCUGUUCCAACCACAGGCACUCUGUGAUCCUGGGAAGGAGUGACCACCUUCCACAACACCAGAAGUUCAAAGCAUUCCAGUUUGUGUCCUGACAAGAACCAUGUGCAAGUGGCCCAGAUACAACAGAGUAGGUGGAGAGAAGCACCAUCCCAUUGGCUUGACAACUUGGAAAACUCCCAGAGAUACAAGAACUGGCCAUUGGACAGGCCCAGCCUCACAUGUUUCUUUUCUUGUAAAGGAUCUUGCCUCUAUACCAAUACACCUGAGAACCUCUACCAGUGUUCAUGGUGAGUGAAUUUGUUGUGUUUGUGUUCAGCUGCGUGCAAAGUCCUUGUUAUUCAAACAUAUCUGUCAGACUGGGCUUUUCUCAUGACUGUGGUGGACUACAAGUGCUUAUCUGUCUGUCUCAAAUAGAAUAGAAUUUGUGUGGGAGGUACUUCACCCAGCUGUCUAGGAAACUCUGAGCACUGCUUUGAAACCAUAAAAGGGAGUCUUUGGCUACAAAGAGCCAAAAGAAAAAUUGAUUCUAAUUUUUAAAAGCAGGUAUGGGUUAAGUGUCUGGUGUGAUAAAGUGCUCAUGUCAUAGCUCAAGAGUGUAAUGUAAUAGUUUUUAAUCCAGAGAACACUCAUUCACGUGCUUGGAUCUUGAAGCCCAUUUUCAUGAACUUCAGUCAGACCAUUUGUAUCUAUAGGAUUAGAAACUUGCAUAUUUCUAGCAUUGGCCACUUAGAAAUCAUAGGAAGUUCAAUCCUACAUAACCAACCAGUGCAUUGAACAUGAUAGUUUUGUUUUGUUUUGUUUCAUUUCCCUGAUAAAAACAAAGUAAACUGAAAAUCGGUAAUUUCUUCUUCUUGCAUUUGUUGUGUCACAUAUUUUGGAAUCGAGCUAGGUAUUGUUGAGUGAAAUAGAAAUUACUCAACAUAUGCAUGACCUGAUAACAUUGAGCUGAUAAAGCAUGCAAGCCUGAAAGAUCAUUUUUUCUCGCUUCAAAAGCAUAUAGUCUUUAAGUCUUGAAAGUGUCUCUACGUAAGGUGAUGUCUAUGCAUAGUAAACAAGCAAACUGAUAAUUCUUAAUAAAACCAAAAUCAUAGUCCAGAGA